GCAUUUCCAGAACUGUGGCAGUGCUGAGCACUUCAGUUGGACAAAGUACAGAUACCGGAGCAAGUCUCAGAACAGACAAGGACAAAGCAGAGCAAGACAAAGGACAAAUACUGGCUCUCUGUGUGUUUGAGAGGUGAAAGGUGCCCAUGAGUAACGACCUGUAAUAACGUGAAGAAUGAGAACAGCAUAUGAGCAGCAGACAGCAUUCCCCUCUACAACCCGGCUAAGAAUCCUUCCACUAGCAAUCAUCGCUGGGAAAUAUUCAUGCUCUGUAAGAAAACAGAUGGGAAGUGAAGAUUUGAGGCCACUCAGCAAGUCACUGAUAUUAAAAACCAAACAUUGUCUAGAGCUGGAAAAUUAUAUGUGUGUUACAUACAUAAUGAGAGACACAUCUGGAAGAAAUAAAGGGGGGAUGACCAGUCCGUUGAGCCUCAGCCUGUCUCAGCUCAAAACCUCAUUUCUCCUCCCUGAGGAGAGACGCUGGCUGUCUUCACACAGCACCAGCAUGUCCAGCCGAGGCCAGCCCUACCCCACACAGAGGGCUGCUACGUGGAGGAAAAGGAAGGGAGAGGAAAUUUCCAAGAGGCAAUCAGGUGCUGAAUGCCAUUCUGAAACCCGUUGCUCCAAGUGGUUGCAGCAUUUACCUGGGAGGUGGGAGACCUGACACCUAAGCCAAACAGCCUCGGGACACGCCGUGACAAGCAGCUUGUGCUGCUGGCAGCCCGAGGGCACCCUGUGUCCUUCCCCUGUGCUCCCCACACAGACCCUGCAGCACCCGGACACCCUCACACCUGAAGCCUCAGCCUGCCAGAACCAAACACAAGCAAGCCCACAUCUGAAAUGUCAGGACAGCCAGUUUCACUCCUGGGCUUUCAUUCCCAGGCCAAGGUUUGAGGCACGUCCUGUCAGGACUCUUCUGUCUUGGCCACAGAGAGACGUGGAUCGUUUGGCUUUGCCUUUGCUCUCCUGAAGAAAACCCCAGAGUGCAACCCAGGCCGCAGUUUCAGCACCUCUUUUGCCCAUCUGUGGUCAGCGCAGCCAGCAGAUGGGAACUGUGCUGCACACAGGCCGGACAGCCAGCGACUGCCUUUUUGUUCCCUGUAUUCUCUCAAGGGAUUAAUGUUCCAGGGAAAGGCACCACUGUACCACCACCACCGGGAGUUUCCAGCUUCACGACUGCCACGUGGCUGCACCAUCCCGUGCUGAGCUUUCUUUGGCCACUGGCACGAAUGCAGUUGCUAAACACAAUUACAGGCUGAUGCACGAAGCAAACAGCACCACGUACCCUGGGAUCAGACCUAACUGGCUUUGUAGAAACCAAGAAUUCACAUCAAGGUCAGCACGUUUAUCUAGGCAUGGUUUUGAGUGACUGAAGCCAAAUUUAUUUAUUUCCUUCUUUGCCCUGCCCAGCCUGAGUUACGAGCAGCUGUCGGAUCCUGAGAAAUGACUGCUUGGGGGAUGUGGGUGGGCAGCGGCUGCUGUAAGGAAAGGUUCACGGCAUGACCUGCUCUCUGCACAGCUGCUGCAGGAGUUGUGCAUUCUCAUGAUUAAGAGCUGUUCAAAUUUUAACUUACUGACCAAACAAAUCAUGAAAAGCUUUCAGUUUCAGUUCAUUCAAAGUGAUUUACCUCUCAAAUUCCUCAGAUUUAAAGUUUAACAUGAAAUAAUUGUUUCUGCUUGUUGUUUUUAACUUGAAAUUUUGUUCUUCCCAGAACAAAGUUUUAAUUUUUCAUGUUAAAAAUCUAUUUUGGGAGCCCAGGAGAAAACGUGGAGCUGCUACAAAGAAGAAAGCAGAGUUAACAGGAAAACAAUUGUGUGUUGUAUUUUUCUGCAAGCCACUCUUACUGGAAACUCUAAGUUAUUUGACACUAAAGUCAAAUUACACAAAAUCAAUCCUAUUGUUACAGAACUAAAAAGUUAGUGGGAUGCUGUCACAUGCCAGCAGAUACAGGAGCUCAGACCUCAGCUGGCCAGGACAAAAGGAGACAGAAGAGCUGGGUGCAAGAAAAAGGGGGUUGGAGGACCUGCAAACAGCACCAGUACUGGCAAGUGGGUAAUACCAAAAUGAACUUUCUAACCUUUUAGCUUUAAAAUAUUUUUGCUUUUAGUAUUUUCCAAAUAAAACAAGUCAUUGAGAAAAGAGUUUAAGUGUUAAGCAAGAGGAAGCAGAACAAAGAAUAUUUUCUUAAGCCUUUCAUGUUUCAGUAUUCUGUCAAAAUCUGAGUUUUUCUUUUUCCUGAUCUGAACUUUUUUUUUUGUCCUGCUGAUUUCUGUUUGAAGAACUCUAAUUUCAGCCACUUUGCUGAUACCUGGACCAAGUCCAGGAGAUCAUUACUGUCCCGGUGUCUGCCUGGAAGAGCAGGAGGUGGGCUUUGAAGCAGAUAUGGCAGCCCAGGCCCAGCAAGGCACGUGCUGGCUGGGGCAGGGAGUGACCCUGGCACGGAGAGCUGGCUGCUCAGGGCCGGAUGCCGCCCAUUGCAUUCUGCUUUUUGCUUUUCAUUUGCCUUGAGUGGUUAUCUGGAGUCACGGGCAGGUAAUCAGGCAACUUUAUGGUACCCACAGAAAUCCUUCAAGAACUUCUGUGAACUUUUGCUCUUGG